AAAUUGUUACACUAAAAAAUAUUAAUACACGAGAUAAGGGGAAUCAUAGUGGUGAGCAUUGUGGUGAUAGUUUUUAUUUAUUGUGUGGCUGCGUUAAAAAAUUCUCAUGCAAAUAACGAUUAAAAUAUUUUCAUAAGUUUGUUGUGUGGCUGUAUUACGUUUAUUUUAUGUAAAUAAUAAUUUUAAUGUUUUCAUAAGAAACCUUAAUGUAUAUGAACUUGAUUUGUUAGUCUACUUUGGGGUUGGACCUUGCGUUUCUUGGGUCCGAUUUCAAAGCCCCCAAACCCUUUCAGCGGUGAGGGUGGACGCAGCGAUGUCCUCUGCUGGCGUCAGGUCCUGAGGCAGAUCCACCUCCCGUUACACGGCGUGCCCGAUUUAUGCUGGCAAGCUUGGGAUUCCCCCGUACAAGGACGUCGGUCUCCUCGGCUGUGAACCGCUCCUGGCGUGCGCCUGGUAAAUCCGUCAUAAUAAUAGCAACCCGCCACGGAACUUGCGCCCUUGCGUUUAAAGGGAAUGUUGGAUAGCGUUCUGAUUGGUUUAUUUGACGUUACGCCCAAACCACACCUAUGAAUAAUGAACCUACUUCAGACCAACCCCUUAUUGAUUUGCGCCCGGCGCAAGAGUUAUUUCUCACGCCGGGAAAAUAGCAACAGCGCCCAAGAUCCGCCCACAAACUCACUUGCGCUUCGCACUUGCAUUUCAGAUCGUUAAAAUAGGGCCCAUUGUCUUUUUUAAAUGUUUUUAUUUCUGAAAAAUGAUGCCCAAUUAAGUCACACUGGCUCUUUUUCCACAGACCCUGUACAGACGGAUAAAAGAUGGAUAAUUUUGCCCCGGAGAAGCUCUGAUACCAGCUUUUACCAAGUUCUUUACAGAGUUCACAAGACUUCUCUGUGUUAAUCCCUGACCAUGCCGAAAAGCUAUUUGAAACUUAGGCAUUGCAUUUUACAGACAGAAUCCUGCAACUUCCCAGCCAGGAACAUCAACAAAUUCCCUUCAGAACCACAUGAUGAUAUUCCAACUCCUGUCUACAAAAUGGGAAGAAAAUCUUAAGUCUACAUUGUGUAUCGACAGUUCGACAUUGCAGCGUGCUGAUGUGUAUCUCUCUUUCGAUUAAUAAAGAGGCAGCAAAAACAUGGGAUCUGCAUUGGCCCUGCCACAUCUGGAG